UAUUGAAAUUUAACUUCAAUGAAAUACUUAAAGGCAGUCAAAAUCAUGGCUGUCUUGUAUGUAUUGCGAUUUUUAUAGUUGAAAUUUGGAUUUUAAAAUCAAUAUAUAGAUACCUUUGGUCGAUAUUGAGAAUUGAAUGCUGUGGGCGGAAUAAAAACAGUUCGGAUUUAUGCGAUCACAUCUACAAUUUUCUCAAGAUAUAAUGCAACGACAUUCAAGAACACGAAAGUAAAGACUACUUAUUUGCGAGUAACUUCAUUGUCUGAGGUUACAAAAGUGUCAAAAGCAAGUAACUCCAGAGUGGAGAAAAGCACAAACAGGUUGAAUGUUGAAGUACAAAGAGUGUCCUCUUUUAAGACAGUAAAACGUCCAGUUAUUAAGAAGAGAAAUGAAGAUAAAGGUUUCAAACUAUUUUCCGGACCAAGUAAACCAAAACAUAAUGGAUUGACUUUAGACGUUUUGCAAUAAUUGACGCCAUUUAAAAAUGGCGUCGAUUUAGUGACGCAAGAGUCACGUGAUCUGUUGCUGAAUUGCAUAAAACUACACCCAAGUGUUCACGAAGUAUUUUUUCCGGAAGCGACGAAAGAUCCCCGAAUAACCGACGAAGAUUUACGGGGAUUUCCGAUUCACAGCCUGGCGGUUGCAGUCAUUUGCGAGGCCAUUUCAAAAGGAGAGGAUCCGUACAAGUUUUACUGUAUGAUCGAAAAGAAUAACUUGGAAAGUGUGCUGACUGAACUGUAUACUAGCGUACAUUAGAAGAAAUUGGGGUUCUCCAUGUACUGCGCUCUGUACCCGUCCGUAGUGAGAGACGCACGGACGAACAUCAGUUUGCAAGACUUCAUUG